UACGGGGGGGAGCAAGCGUUGUUCGGAUUUACUGGGCGUAAAGGGCGCGUAGGCGGCGUGACAAGUCACUUGUGAAAUCUCCGGGCUUAACUCGGAACGGUCAAGUGAUACUGUCGUGCUAGAGUACAGAAGGGGCAACUGGAAUUCUCGGUGUAGCGGUGAAAUGCGUAGAUAUCGAGAGGAACACCUGCGGCGAAGGCGGGUUGCUGGGCC
rnacentral:rRNA from 1 species